rnacentral:lncRNA from 10 species
AUGGCUCAUUGCAGCCUUGAACUCCUGGGCUCAAGUUACUGAGCUUGCCUCCGCUUCCUGAGUAGAUUGACUACAGGCACAUACCACCACACUGGGCAAAUUUUUUUUCUUCUUUUUUUUUUUUGUAGAGACGGGAUCUUACUAUGUUGCGUAGGCUGGUAUUGCGUUCUUUAACAGCAUGCUGAAGUUGCCUGUAAAUCUUUUCAUGUUUCUUGAAAAAUUCAUUCCUACCAACUAUAGUCUUGUGCUGCUGUUGUAAAUGGAGUCAUCUCUUUGAUAUAUGCCAACUGGCUGCUGUGUGCUUGUGCCACACCCCCUCAUGUAUUUCUCAUGCUGUUAGGAGUACUUCUCAGGUGCUGUUGGGUUUUCCAGGUGCAUCACCUGCACAUGGUACUCAUUUCACCUCCAUCCUCUCUCUGGUGCACCAGCCUUGGCUGGUCCCUGGCCCAGAAGCAGGGUCAGGGAGUAGAGGGUGGUGAGCCCUCGGGAGCCAGACCUGUGCCUCGACCAGGGGUACAAUGUGGGAUAAGAAACUUAACCUUUCUGUGCCUCUGGUUGUGCAUCUGUCAGUGAGGACACAGCAUCUGUCUGCCUUUUGGGAUUUGGGGGAGGACACAGGAGCUAAUAGGUGGUAAGUUUCAGUAAUACUAAUAGUUAACUUUUCCUGUUAAGACAAUACCAGCUGUGUGUUUUCUUUCCAUUUUUCCCCAUAUUUUUGGAGAGUUGAUUCUGCAACUUGCUUUCUCCUUGUAUUUUCAGGGGCGUCUGCCUUGGAUAUAAAAUCAUAGAUGGGUGUGUUGCUAAGAAAAAGCUCUUUGCAACCAGUAUUAACACCACACUCCAUGUGACAUGUCUUCCUGUCAUUUUUCAUUGUCCUUUGACCAGGUGGGCUGGAUGACACUUUGCACACAAUUAUUGAUUAUGCCUGUGAGCAGAACAUUCCCUUUGUGUUUGCUCUCAACCGCAAAGCUCUGGGGCGCAGUUUGAAUAAGGCAGUUCCUGUCAGUGUGGUGGGGAUCUUCAGCUAUGAUGGGGCCCAGGAUCAGUUCCACAAGAUGGUUGAGCUGACAGUGGCGGCCCGACAGGCGUACAAGACCAUGCUGGAGAAUGUGCAGCAGGAGCUGGUGGGAGAGCCCAGGCCUCAGGCACCUCCCAGCCUACCCACACAGGGCCCCAGCUGCCCUGCAGAAGAUGG